rnacentral:rRNA from 1 species
UGCAAGUCGAACGCACUCGGACCUUUCGGGUCCACAUGAGUGAGUGGCGAACGGGUGAGUAACACGUGAGGAACCUGCCCCGGAGUACGGGAUAACCACGGGAAACCGUGGCUAAUACCGUAUGUCUUCUUCUGGCCGCAUGGCCGGAUGAAGAAAGCUUUAGUGCUCCGGGAGGGCCUCGCGGCCUAUCAGCUUGUUGGUGAGGUAACGGCUCACCAAGGCAUCGACGGGUAGCUGGUCUGAGAGGACGGUCAGCCACACUGGGACUGAGACACGGCCCAGACUCCUACGGGAGGCAGCAGUGGGGAAUCUUGCGCAAUGGGCGAAAGCCUGACGCAGCCACGCCGCGUGAGGGAUGAAGGCUUUCGGGUUGUAAACCUCUUUCAGCAGGGACGAAAAUGACGGUACCUGCAGAAGAAGCUCCGGCCAACUACGUGCCAGCAGCCGCGGUAACACGUAGGGAGCAAGCGUUGUCCGGAUUUAUUGGGCGUAAAGGGCUCGUAGGCGGUUCAGUAAGUCAGGUGUGAAAGUCCAAGGCUCAACCUUGGGACGCCACUUGAUACUGCUGUGACUAGAGUCCGGUAGAGGAGUGUGGAAUUCCUGGUGUAGCGGUGAAAUGCGCAGAUAUCAGGAGGAACACCAACGGCGAAGGCAGCACUCUGGGCCGGUACUGACGCUGAAGAGCGAAAGCAUGGGGAGCAAACAGGAUUAGAUACCCUGGUAGUCCAUGCCGUAAAC